UAAAAAAUUAGCCAGAUGUGGUAGCGCAUGUUUGUAGUCCUGGCUGCUCAGGAGGCUGAGGCAGGAGAAUCACUUGAAUCUGGAAGGUGGAGGUUGCAGUGAGCCAAGGUUUCGCCA